rnacentral:rRNA from 1 species
CCUACGGGUGGCUGCAGUGGGGAAUUUUGGACAAUGGGCGCAAGCCUGAUCCAGCCAUGCCGCGUGAGUGAAGAAGGCCUUCGGGUUGUAAAGCUCUUUCGGCCGGGAAGAAAUCGGGGUGGCUAAUAUCUGCCCUGGAUGACGGUACCGGAAUAAGAAGCACCGGCUAACUACGUGCCAGCAGCCGCGGUAAUACGUAGGGUGCGAGCGUUAAUCGGAAUUACUGGGCGUAAAGCGUGCGCAGGCGGUUUUUUAAGACAGGCGUGAAAUCCCCG